rnacentral:rRNA from 1 species
UACGUAGGUGGCAAGCGUUGUCCGGAUUUACUGGGCGUAAAGCGUGCGUAGGCGGUUGGCCAAGUCAGCUGUGAAAGCCCCGGGCUCAACCUGGGAAUGGCGGUUGAAACUAGUCGACUCGAAUCUGGCAGAGGGGGGUGGAAUUCCACGUGUAGCAGUGAAAUGCGUAGAGAUGUGGAGGAACACCGAUGGCGAAGGCAGCCCCCUGGGCUGAGAUUGACGCUCAGGCACGAAAGCGUGGGGAGCAAACAGG